rnacentral:rRNA from 1 species
UUGGAGGGCAAGUCUGGUGCCAGCAGCUGCGGUAAUUCCAGCUCCAAUAGCGUAUAUUAAAGUUGUUGCAGUUAAAAAGCUCGUAGUUGAAUUUCGGGAUCAGUAUGUUGGUCAUGCUUCAGUACGUACUGUCAUUACUGGUUUCUACCUUCUGAAGAAUCUUGAUGUCAUUAAUUUGGUGUCUUGGGGAAUCAGGACUGUUACUUUGAAAAAAUUAGAGUGUUUAAAGCAAGCAUACGCUUGAAUACAUUAGCAUGGAAUAAUGAAAUAGGACGUUUGAUUCUAUUUUGUUGGUUUCUAGGAUCGACGUAAUGAUUAAUAGGGAUAGUUGGG